AUUUGGUCAGGUAACUUCUACAGAGUACUUAAGGGUUAAUCCAUUUAAGGCUGCUAAAGGAAGCUUAUUUUGUGAUUCCAAGCUGAGAAAAAGGCAGGAAUAUGGGGGUUGAGUCACGUCGCUCCGCCAUUUUCUAAGCGGAGGAGGAAGACAUGUUGGAACAAAAACACAACAAAAGAGCAGCCAUUUCCCAAACCAGCUCCGACAGCAACCCCAAUAAACUAAACUCAGUUACAUCCACACCUUCAAAACCACUUCAGGGGACAACCGUAUGAACACCAAAGGCAUCUCCUUAAAAAUAGCCAGACGCCAGCCCUUCCGUGUUAGGACCAAAGACGACCCGCAGAGUCAACUGCAAAUGAAAGCCCCGGGAAGCCGAAAAAAUGACAGAUGGUAAAUGCAGCAGUGCCACAAACAAAAUUUUAACCAAGUUGGGGAACUAAAAAUUACCCAACGAUUCCGGUCAACUGUGGAAUCCGGAGGACUCAGUACCGAGACCGAUUCAUCGGGUCCAAUUACUAGCCUCAACCCCUUUCACCAUUUCGCAAUUCCCUCUUGCGAGCGACUACGUGCUCCAAGGUUCUUACCGUAUGUGAGGGAUGCCAACCCCACCUUGAAGAAUCUUAUACAGUUUGCUCUCGUACAGCAACUGGGGAUGCCUGGCCUUCUGGGAUUCUAGUUUCACUGCCACUUCCUGCAGAGGAAAGGGGACGAUGGUAUCAAAAUCCCUACAGAUUCAAACUCACUUGGGAACGACAAGAAGUGUUACCGAUGCUUGCUUCUAGACGCCACCACAAGGACAUGAAAAGAUGGGGAAAGCUACCGUGGUAAUUACAAAACACAAGCAGCCUCAAAGGCCUUUUCAGGGGGGCAAAGGCGACCCCCCUCCCAAUGUCCUCUAAAUCUAAAGUGAAUGAAAAGAAGUCAUGCAGAAAACAGGCAACCUUGGAACCUAAGGCGAGACUUUUUAAAGCAAACUGUUCUUACUGGAACAAGAACCCCGGACUAAAUUUAAGAUAAAUUUAAGAAAUACAAAGAAAACCAUGGCGAUCAUACGA